AUGUUCAUGGCCUUCGUCGUCUCCCUUGCCUGUGCCUUCGGCCCGCAGCAAUCCCACCACCUGCACUUGUACAUGCACGACUUCGCCGCAGGCCCCAACGUCAGCACCAUCCGUGUCGGUGUCGCCCAUGACACCGGCCCGCUCCUCGGAGGCUCCAAGCUCUGGCGCUUUGGCGACAUGGUGGUCAUGGACGACGCACUCACCGAGGGCCCUGGCAUGGGGUCCAGGGCUCUCGGACGCGCCCAGGGGUUCUACAUCGCGGCGUCAUCCAAGGGCAGCGACCCCACGCUGCACAUGUCAUUCGAUCUGCUGCUCACCAGUGGGCCUUACAACGGGAGCACGCUUGCGGUCACGGGCCGCGACAACGUCAUGGCGCCGGUGCGGGAGCUCUCGGUGGUGGGCGGCAUGGGGAGGUUCAGGAUGGCAACCGGGUACGUGCUGAUGCAGACCGUCGAGUGGUGGCAUGGCGAGUACGCUCUCCUAGAGCUCGAUGUUUACGUGCAUGCAUGA
rnacentral:rRNA from 1 species